CACUCCUGCGGGAGGCAGCAGUGAGGAAUAUUGGACAAUGGGUGGAAGCCUGAUCCAGCCAUCCCGCGUGCAGGAAGACGGCCCUAUGGGUUGUAAACUGCUUUUAUCUGGGGAUAAACCUACUUACGUGUAAGUAGCUGAAGGUACCAGAAGAAUAAGCACCGGCUAACUCCGUGCCAGCAGCCGCGGUAAUACGGAGGGUGCAAGCGUUAUCCGGAUUUAUUGGGUUUAAAGGGUCCGUAGGCGGACUGAUAAGUCAGUGGUGAAAUCCGACAGCUUAACUGUCGAACUGCCAUUGAUACUGUUAGUCUUGAGUAAGGUUGAAGUGGCUGGAAUAAGUAGUGUAGCGGUGAAAUGCAUAGAUAUUACUUAGAACACCAAUUGCGAAGGCAGGUCACUAAGUCUUAACUGACGCUGAUGGACGAAAGCGUGGGGAGCGAACAGGAUUAGAAACCCUGGUAGUCCCA
rnacentral:rRNA from 1 species